CCCGUGGUUCAUGAUGCAGCUCUUUUUUCCCCGUCUUAUCGACCGUGGUGAUUCCUCUGCAAACUUUGCCAGUCGCUCUGAAACCGCACU